rnacentral:lncRNA from 1 species
AGAGAGAGAGAGAGAGAGAGAGAGAGAGAGAGAGAGAGAGAGAGAGAGAGAGAGAGAGAGAGAGAGAGAGAAAACACGUAUGACUGAUUAAUUAUAAAUUGCAAUGGUCAUAUUAGCUUACUGCAUUACGAAUGGGAAUUUUAAUUACAUGACCUGAUUUCAUAACCGGAAUGAACAUAUAAAUCUUCUCAUUUACGGAAUAGUAUUGUUAUUCGUAAGGAAAACAAUAACAGGAAUGAAAUACAAUAAUACUGUACAAAUAUAUUUAAAUUCUUACUCAGCAUUUUGCUCUAUGAAUUCUUUCUGUUCUAAACCUUGCUUACUGUAUUUAUAUACUUUAAAAAUAUCAUGCAUUUCAAAGGCUAAAAAAAAAAUGUAAAUACAAAUAAACCAUUUUUGUAACUAUAAUAAGUGAUGAAAGGAAAAGACCUUAGUAAAAAAGUGAACAAAGCUUGUAUGCAAUGAUGUCGUCUUUCUGUAAGAUUGAAAUAAAGGAUAAAAACUCACA